CCUACGGGAGGCAGCAGUGAGGAAUAUUGGUCAAUGGACGAGAGUCUGAACCAGCCAAGUAGCGUGAAGGAUGACUGCCCUAUGGGUUGUAAACUUCUUUUAUAACGGACUAAAACGAGGCAAGUGUGCAUUUUUGCAUGUACUUUAUGAAUAAGGAUCGGCUAACUCCGUGCCAGCAGCCGCGGUAAUACGGAGGAUCCGAGCGUUAUCCGGAUUUAUUGGGUUUAAAGUGAGCGUAGAUGGGUUGUUAAGUCAGUUGUGAAAGUUUGCGGCUCAACCGUAAAAUUGCAAUUGAUACUGGCAGUCUUGAGUACAGUUGAGGUAGGCGGAAUUCGUGGUGUAGCGGUGAAAUGCUUAGAUAUCACGAAGAACCCCGAUUGCGAAGGCAGCUUACUAAACUGUGACUGACAUUGAUGCUCGAAAGUGUGGGUAUCAAACAGGAUUAGAUACCCCAGUAGUC
rnacentral:rRNA from 1 species